CCUACGGGGGGCUGCAGUGGGGAAUAUUGGACAAUGGGGGCAACCCUGAUCCAGCAAUGCCGCGUGAGUGAUGAAGGCCUUCGGGUUGUAAAGCUCUUUUGCCAGGGACGACGUACCUGGAGAAUAAGCCCCGGCUAACUUCGUGCCAGCAGCCGCGGUAAUACGAAGGGGGCUAGCGUUGUUCGGAAUUACUGGGCGUAAAGGGCGCGUAGGCGGUCUGAUAAGUUAGGUGUGAAAUUCCCGGGCUUAACCUGGGCGCUGCAUUUAAUACUGUCAGGCUUGAAUUCAGGAGAGGAUAGCGGAAUUCCCAGUGUAGAGGUGAAAUUCGUAGAUAUUGGGAAGAACACCGGUGGCGAAGGCGGCUAUCUGGACUGAAUUGACGCUGAGGCGCGAAAGCGUGGGGAGCAAACAGGAUUAGAUACCCUUGUAGUC
rnacentral:rRNA from 1 species